rnacentral:rRNA from 1 species
GACGAACGCUGGCGGCGUGCUUAACACAUGCAAGUCGAACGGAAAGGCCCUGCUUUUGUGGGGUGCUCGAGUGGCGAACGGGUGAGUAACACGUGAGUAACCUGCCCUUGACUUUGGGAUAACUUCAGGAAACGGGGGCUAAUACCGGAUAGGAGCUCCUGCUGCAUGGUGGGGGUUGGAAAGUUUCGGCGGUUGGGGAUGGACUCGCGGCUUAUCAGCUUGUUGGUGGGGUAGUGGCUUACCAAGGCUUUGACGGGUAGCCGGCCUGAGAGGGUGACCGGCCACAUUGGGACUGAGAUACGGCCCAGACGCCUACGGGAGGCAGCAGUGGGGAAUAUUGCACAAUGGGCGGAAGCCUGAUGCAGCAACGCCGCGUGCGGGAUGACGGCCUUCGGGUUGUAAACCGCUUUCGCCUGUGACGAAGCGUGAGUGACGGUAAUGGGUAAAGAAGCACCGGCUAACUACGUG